rnacentral:rRNA from 1 species
GACGAACGCUGGCGGCGUGCCUAAUACAUGCAAGUCGAGCGAAGUCUUUCUGGUGCUUGCCCUAGAAAAACUUAGCGGCGAACGGGUGAGUAACACGUAAAGAACCUGCCUCAUAGACUGGGACAACUAUUGGAAACGAUAGCUUAUAACGGAUAACAGUAUUUCUCGCAUGAGAGAUAUUUAAAAGUUGGUUAUGCUAACACUAUGAGAUGGCUUUGCGGUGCAUUAGCUAGUUGGUGGGGUAAAGGCCCACCAAGGCGACGAUGCAUAGCCGACCUGAGAGGGUGAUCGGCCACACUGGGACUGAGACACGGCCCAGACUCCUACGGGAGGCAGCAGUAGGGAAUCUUCCGCAAUGGGCGAAAGCCUGACGGAGCAACGCCGCGUGAGUGAAGAAGGAUUUCGGUUCGUAAAGCUCUGUUGUUAGGGAAGAAUGGAUAUGUAGUAACUAUACAUGUAAGAGACGGUACCUAACCAGAAAGCCACGGCUAACUACGUG